CGGUCCACGGACAUCACAUUUGUACAAGGACGCACCAUCGUGCACUUUCAAGACCGUGAGCGGCGUCACGCAAGUCGAAUUUAGCUCCUGCGAGACCAAACUGUUUUCCGCGUGUCAAAAGAGCCGCGAAUUGCUGUGCUGGGACCUCCGUAAUCCUGGUGACGUACGUUCUUCAUUCGUUCGAGGGGAGACAAUCGGAUACUAAUCAAAGGAUACAGUUUGACGUUACGUGCAACGGCAAACAGAUGAUCUCUGGUGGUACUGAUGGAAAUAUUACUGUAUGGGAACUGCCAGACGUCACGGAAUAUGGUGAAAAUUUGAACCCAAAGUACAAGAUAAAAUUAUCUGAGGAUUGUAUAAAUGGAACGAGCUUGCACAAAACUUUACCGAUAGCAGCAACCAGUUCCGGACAACGUGGUAUUGAGACCGAGCACAGAGACGACAGCGUAAAAUUAUGGGGGGCCCUUUGACAAGACAUCACACGACUGUAAACAGACCUGUAAAUACUUGAUUUUAUGGCUCCGUUAUCAUUGACAGUACUCGUGCUGACUUUAUCCAAGAAUUUGUGGAUAAAAAGGACAGGACAAUUUUGCCAACACUGACAAUAAGCAACAGAACAGUCUGUAUGUAUCAUAUGUAUUUAUAUAGAGUUAUUGUUGUUAGUAUUCAUACAUCUGUAAAUAUAUAUUAGGAUAUUAGUAAUUUAUAUUUUUAUAUUCCAUAGUUUUAUUUCUUUUUACAAUGGAGAAAUGGUAUAAUUAUUAAUAAUAAACUUCUUUUAACGACCCUUCUCACUGGCACAUUUAUUCCAUUAAAAAAUUAUAUAAUUAUUAUUUCUAAAUCCAUCAAUUGCUAAAAUGUUACAUUAAUAGUAAAAAUUUCGUUCGCAUAUAUAAAAUUGGAAAACACUUAUGAAAGUUUUAUGUCGAGAAUUUUCAAUUACGUUAAAAAAGUGCGUCGAUAUGUUAUUAACUAUGUCCUGAUUUCUCGUGCUCUCCCGCACAUGCGUAUCACUAUACAAAGGCUCAAUAUAACGUACGGUCUCUUAUAAAUACACUAUGUAACAAAUAUCUAUGUGAACAAUAAAGGUGUUAGUUAUUUUUCA
rnacentral:misc_RNA from 1 species